GGUUAUUCAAAGUUCAUGCCACUUAGUGUGCUUGCUGAUCCAUCAAAAGGUUUCCUUGUGGAAGAUACUUGCAUCAUUUCAGCAAACAUCACAAUCCUUGGAUUAAUUGAAAACUUUCAUUAAAUUUUAGUACUGGUGUCUUGAGUAAAGAAUCUAUUUGAUCCCUCCUUUUUCCUGUUAUAUAGGAUUGCUUUUCCAGAAUAACUCUUCCUCAGACUUCAGUUGAAACUGAAGUAGCAAUUCUCAGGACACAAAACUGAAUCUUGGAACAACUAAGAUUAUUGAAU